UCGUGAGUAACCUGCCCUUGACUCUGGGAUAACCUCCGGAAACGGAAGCUAAUACCGGAUAUGACGUACGGAGGCAUCUCCUGUACGUGGAAAGAAUUUCGGUCAAGGAUGGACUCGCGGCCUAUCAGGUAGUUGGUGAGGUAACGGCCCACCAAGCCUACGACGGGUAGCCGGCCUGAGAGGGUGACCGGCCACACUGGGACUGAGACACGGCCCAGACUCCUACGGGAGGCAG
rnacentral:rRNA from 1 species